GUAGUCUCGCACAGAUGCAUAUCAAUAAGCGGAGGAAAAGAAACUAACAAGGAUUCCCCUAGUAACGGCGAGUGAAGCGGGAAGAGCUCAAAUUUGAAAUCUUAAAGGGUUUCCCUUUACGAAUUGUAGUUUAAAGAAGUGUUUUCUGUUGAGGUUUUGGUAAAAGUUCUUUGGAAUAGGACAUCAUAGAGGGUGAGAAUCCCGUAUUUGACCUUUACUUUCAACUUUGUGAUACACUUUCAAAGAGUCGGAUUGUUUGGGAAUAGCAGUCCAAGAUGGGUGGUAAAUUUCAUCUAAAGCUAAAUAUUGGCGAGAGACCGAUAGCGAACAAGUACCGUGAGGGAAAGAUGAAAAGAACUUUGAAAAGAGAGUUAAACAGUACGUGAAAUUGUCAAAAGGGAAGCGUUUGACACCAGUGUUGUUUUUCUGAAAAUCAAUUAAAGAACUGUUUAUGCUAAGCUGUUUAGACUUUAUCAGCUAUCUGUUUAGUUUUGAGCUUUUCUUUAAUGCACUUUUCAGUUAACAAGUCAACAUCAAUUUCUUUUGCUGUAAAAAAGCUUGAGGAAGGUGGCUUGAGAUUCGUCUUAAGUGUUUAUAGCCUCUUGCCUAUGCAGUCGGAGAGAUUGAGGUCUGCAGCGUAGAUCCUUCGGGGCUAAAUGCAUUUGUGCUAAGUUAUAGCAUUUUAUAGACAACUUGUUGACUAUGAUUUGUCUUGUAGCUUACUCGCUUAUGUUAUUUUACCUACGCUUAGGAUGUUGAUGUGAUACUGCGAGCA
rnacentral:rRNA from 1 species